CUUUUGUGCAAGGCAUCAUUCACAUCAGGCAAUGCUUCUUGUGAAAAGCAAACCCAGAACUGGUGUGUGUUUUUUAUAGGGCAGGGCAGCUGUAACCAACACCUCCAAUCUCAUCUCAUUGAUUGGACUCCAGUUGGCUGACAUCUCACUCCAAUUACCUCUUGGAGAUGUCAUUAGUCUAGGGGUUCGCAUACUUUUUCCACCUGCACUGUGAAUGUUUACAGGGUGUGUUCAAUAAAAACAUGACAACGUUUCAUUCUUUGUGUGUUAUUAGUUUAAGC
rnacentral:lncRNA from 1 species